GAAAUACUAGUUAAUCAAUAAUAAUAUCUUGUCAAGAUAUAGUUACCAAA
rnacentral:tRNA from 1 species